rnacentral:rRNA from 2 species
ACUCCUACGGGAGGCAGCAGUCGGGAAUAUUGCGCAAUGGAGGAAACUCUGACGCAGUGACGCCGCGUAUAGGAAGAAGGUUUUCGGAUUGUAAACUAUUGUCGUUGGGGAAGAUAAAAGACAGUACCCAAGGAGGAAGCUCCGGCUAACUACGUGCCAGCAGCCGCGGUAAU